AUUUUUUGAUUUUCACAAACUCAGAAGAUGAUGAGGCAUCAUCAACCCCAAGUUCCACACCCCAGGGACAGAGAAUGGGAGCGGAGCCCGGGCCUCAGCCACUGAGACGCUCCCAGCGGAUAAGCCCGCAAGGGCAGCCUGUGUACAGAGGACAAGACGGACCUGCACCCAAAAAAAAAAGAAAUUCGAAAAGAAAAGCUAGAGAUGAGGAAAGU